GAGUUUGAUCCUGGCUCAGAUUGAACGCUGGCGGCAUGCCUUACACAUGCAAGUCGAACGGCAGCACGGGAGCCUUGCUCCGUGGUGGCGAGUGGCGAACGGGUGAGUAAUGCAUCGGAACGUAUCCUGGAGUGGGGGAUAACGUAGCGAAAGUUACGCUAAUACCGCAUAUUCUGUGAGCAGGAAAGCGGGGGACCUUCGGGCCUCGCGCUCUUGGAGCGGCCGAUGUCGGAUUAGCUAGUUGGUGAGGUAAAGGCUCACCAAGGCGACGAUCCGUAGCAGGUCUGAGAGGAUGAUCUGCCACACUGGAACUGAGACACGGUCCAGACUCCUACGGGAGGCAGCAGUGGGAAUUUUGGACAAUGGGGGCAACCCUGAUCCAGCCAUGCCGCGUGAGUGAAGAAGGCCUUACGG
rnacentral:rRNA from 1 species